rnacentral:rRNA from 1 species
UACGUAGGUGACCAGCGUUGUCCGGAUUUACUGGGCGUAAAGAGCGCGCAGGCGGUCGUUCAAGUCGAGUGUGAAAGCCCCCGGCUCAACUGGGGAGGGUCAUUCGAUACUGUCCGACUUGAAGGCAGGAGAGAGAAGCAGAAUUCCCGGUGUAGUGGUGAAAUGCGUAGAUAUCGGGAGGAAUGACCAGUCGGCGAAGGCGGCUUCUUGGCCUGUUCUUGACGCUGAGGCGCGAAA